GAGUAUUGACUACGCUUUACCCUCACGAUUGGGCCGCGGCAGGCAGGAGGCACAUCGCUGAAAGGAAAAGCCAGAAAAGCCGCUUCGGUCUUGGCUCUAACGUUCGUUUCGUUGCGCUUGCGUUGGUGAAUCGGUGCGAUUAUAUUUUCAUUUGAAGAAAGAAAGCUGUGUUUGUGACUUGGUUUUUAAUAUUUCAAAUCUUCUAUAAUAUCCUUUAAUAUCCCUAUUAUGUAUGCUUAUGUCAAAUACGAGCUGGAUGGGGAGACGGCAUCUGUGCCCCUUGCCUUCAUCAAGAACUUUUCCUCCGAAACUUUCCAGCCCGGAAUAUCCAAAUUUCGGGUAUUCUGGAGCUCUGAAAAUGAGGACCAGGACGAGGCGACGCCACAGGACGUGGAGAGGAGAAAAGGCAAAGUAGCCGACAUAGAUGGAUUCAAGGAUACCUCCAAAGAACCGGAGGCGGGUUAUUAUAUGGCGACAGUCCUCCGUGUUGCCGAUUCAAUUGAACAGUUACAAGGGAAGAGAAUCGCUUUUCGUUCAGCCAAAGUCCGUGAAAAUACUGAUUCCAAGAAAAGGUCCAGCAAAAAAAGUAAGACCAACAAGAAGUCUUCUACGCAAUACGUGUCCAAGGUAUUUAUAUUUCAGUGAUAAUAGUUUGAAAAGACGUAGAAGUAAUGAUGUAGUAUUACUGUUGUAGUAGUCUUAGUAGUAGUAGUAGUAGUAGUAGUAGUAGUAGUUGUUGAAAGAGGACUGGUGCUGAAGUCUUCCAUCUAGACAACACUAGUCACCUAAAUCAGUUUGAAUCUUCUUGUGUGAUGAAAACAGGUAAAUUUUUUUUCCAUUCUUACGUACAGCUUUAGUAUCAAAUCAGCUGAAGUGCAAGGGAGAAAUAAGAUAAAAGAUGCACACCUCUAUAAAUGCAUGAUGUGAUAAUUGGACCGCGUUAAACUGAAAGGAACCAAGCAACAUCAGCUAUUGCCAAAUUUCAUCGGACAAUUUAAUUUUUUACAUGAAAACGGUUGUGCGGAUUUAUGUGCAACUUUCAGUGAAUUUUCUCUAUACUACAAAGCAAAUUCCUGAAAAUUUUCAAAAGAAUAAGCACAAUUGUUCUCGAUUAAAAAUUAAUUUUCCCCGUUAAAUUUGGCAAUAGCUGAUGUAGCUUGGUUCCUUUCUGUUAAACGCAGUCCAAUUGUUUGAAUCCAAUUUUUCAAAAUCAGCUCAUGUAAGUAGUGCAUGCUCAGCUUGCAGUUACUCAGUUGCAAUGUUAUUUUCUGUAGUAGUUAGCUAUAUGUGAGUCAGCUUUCAAUGUAAUCUUAUCCAUUAGCAAUAACGGUAUGAUUUUGCCAGUCCACGAUGGCAGCAAAUUAUCACAGAUAUAAUGUCAGCUGUUUUUUGGCACCCUGUGGGAUUUUAAUAAGUCAAAAGAAUCAUUUGAAAUUGGUACUAUAUUUGGUAAAGAAUAUUUGGUAUUUCAUGAGAACAUUUGGGGAAAGGGGGCCGGGUUCCUUGUGUAUGUAGUUGCCCUAGAGAAAUUUCCUACCAUUACUUUGUUAAUUUUUUGAUUUAUGCGUCGAGAUUCUGAGGAAAU
rnacentral:lncRNA from 1 species